GACGAACGCUGGCGGCGUGCCUAAUACAUGCAAGUAGAACGCACAGUUUAUACCGUAGCUUGCUACACCAUAGACUGUGAGUUGCGAACGGGUGAGUAACGCGUAGGUAACCUGCCUGGUAGCGGGGGAUAACUAUUGGAAACGAUAGCUAAUACCGCAUAAUAUUAAUUAUUGCAUGAUAAUUAAUUGAAAGGUGCAAUUGCACCACUACCAGAUGGACCUGCGUUGUAUUAGCUGGUAGGUGAGGUAACGGCUCACCUAGGCGACGAUACAUAGCCGACCUGAGAGGGUGAUCGGCCACACUGGGACUGAGACACGGCCCAGACUCCUACGGGAGGCAGCAGUAGGGAAUCUUCGGCAAUGGACGAAAGUCUGACCGAGCAACGCCGCGUGAGUGAAGAAGGGUUUCGGAUCGUAAAGCUCUGUUGUAAGAGAAGAGCGGGUGUGAGAGUGGAAAGUUCACACUGUGACGGUAUCUUACCAGAAAGGGACGGCUAACUACGUG
rnacentral:rRNA from 1 species